rnacentral:lncRNA from 1 species
AAUCGUCUUCUGGCUGUGUCUGCAUAGAGCUGACUGUGCUGGACGUUGCUUGCCGGAGGGCGGGCACCGUCCAGCCUAACGUGGGGUGAUCCGCUUCAGGCUGGAAACAGAGCAGAGCAAAAUCCCCGCAGCUAGCGGCUAUGAGACCGCACGGCCUUGCGAUGGUUGCGCUUCAAACCGGCAGGAGGUGCGGCUCGACCGGAUUGCGUUUUGU